CAAUAGCGUAUAUUAAAGUUGUUGCAGUUAAAAAGCUCGCAGUUGGAUUUCUGGAUCGAACGCUUCGUCCGCCGCUGUGCGGUGUGUACUGAGGUUUUGUUUCGAUUCAUCCUUGCAGGGAAGCGAGUUCGAGAUUAAUUUGUCGGCUCGGGGAACUGCAUCUUUUACUGUGAAAAAAUUAGAGUGUUUAAAGCAGGCAUUUUGCUGUGAAUACAUUAGCAUGGAAUAAUAACAUAGGACUUUGGUUCUAUUUUGUUGGUUGGAGGCCAAGGUAAUGAUUAAUAGGGACAGUUGGGGGUAUUCAUAUUUAAUUGUCAGAGGUGAAAUUCUUGGAUUUAUGAAAGAUGAACUCAUGCGAAAGCAUUUACCAAGGAUGUUUUCAUUAA
rnacentral:rRNA from 1 species